ensembl:lncRNA
AUAUGUUUGGAAAAUUGAUAUAUUAAAUAUAAAUUUUCAGGCAAGUAGCUAAGGACAGCUAAAUAUGUGUCAUAUAUAUAUAUAUAUAUAUAUAUAUACACACACACACACACACACACACACACACAUAAAAUAACAUAAGUGAGAUGUAGAAUGAAGAUGUCAAUGGUUCACAGUUUAAAUUCCUUAGAAGCACUGGUUUGGAUGUUAUGCUUUUUAUUACUGCUAUUCUUGCUCUCAAAACACUGGCACAUAGUAAGAGUUUGGUAAGUGCUUAGAAAUUGAAGGUCCAGCUUGUUGCCACUCAGUAGACAGUAGUAUCACCAUGCUGCUGCUGCUGUCUAGUCACUAAGUCAUGUCUGACUCUUUGCGACCCCAUGGACUGUAGCCUGCUGGGCUCUUCUGUCCAUGGGAUUUCCCAGAUAGGAACACUGGAGUGAGUUGCCAUUUCCUUCUCCAGGGGAUCUUCCCAACCCAGGGAUGGAACCUGCAUCUCCUCCUUGGCAGGUGGACUCUUUACCACUCAGUCACCUGGGAAGCCCUAGAAUCAACACACCCCAAGUUAAAUGAGUUGCAGAGAAGCAGUUGUAGAUCAUCACAGCUGCCUGAAGAGAAGCUUUUGUGGUUUCACAGAUUCAGAUUCGGCAUCCUGUCAGCCAGCUGCAGGUCUUGGGUCAGGCUCUCCGGUAGUGAUCAGUGACAGAAUGUUACAUUCUGGAGCUGAAUGAAAAGGUUCUGGGCUCAGCUGAUCUGAAAGCUCUACAGUUUUCUUCUCCCAUAUCUGGACCUGCCACCAGCAAUUAGAAGCCUUGGAUAACUGUUUAUUCCAACAUGUCCAACCACAGUGGGUGGGGGAAAGGUCCUGCGAGCUUCUCUCCUCAGAACCUCUGUGGUGUUGACACUGCAGACAGAGGAAGGGCCAGCAGCAUCAUUCUAUAGAAUCACCUUUGAUCACCGUUACUGUCUGGACAGUUUCUGCCAGUGUGGCCAGAGUGCCUCUCGCCGUGGCCAUCUGCAGCUCCAUGGCUGGGCCAGUGUGUACCUGACACGUGUCAGACUUCUGAGAUCUUCCAGCUGUCUCAGUGUGAAUGCCUUUAAUUUACAAAAUGGGUUUAUUUACUAAAUAUUCCGUUGUGUGUGUAUGCGUGUGACGCAAGGCAAACUCUGGACUAUCUCAUUAGAAGGAUGCAUUUAUACUGAAUCUAAUUUCAGGAGAUCACGCUGUCAUCUUGCUCACUGAACGAGAUUGCCCAGUCACAGAGGAAAAUGCCCUUUCGCCUCCCCCCACCCUCUUUCAGCUCCCCUCCCCUGCGUAAUUGAGCUGUCAGACCCAUUCCAGGCUGUCACACAGUGAGGGCCACCAGGAAGCUUUAUGUAUAUAAAGAUAUAAGAAGAAAUAAGAACCAUCAUAGGAAUCUGUUGGGCUCCUUCCCAUGACUGUGAUCUUACCAGUGUGUGAAUCACAAACUUUAAAUUUCUAACAAUUCAGAUUCUUGCUGUUUCCAAGUAAUUUGUUAAAUGCCUAUUCAACACAGACAGAUAUUUAU